GAUGAACGCUGGCGGCGUGCCUAAUACAUGCAAGUCGAGCGAACAGACGAGGAGCUUGCUCCUCUGACGUUAGCGGCGGACAGGUGAGUAACACGUGGAUAACCUACCUAUAAGACUGGGAUAACUUCGGGAAACCGGAGCUAAUACCGGAUAAUAUAUUGAACCGCAUGGUUCAAUAGUGAAAGACGGUUUUGCUGUCACUUAUAGAUGGAUCCGCGCCGCAUUAGCUAGUUGGUAAGGUAACGGCUUACCAAGGCGACGAUGCGUAGCCGACCUGAGAGGGUGAUCGGCCACACUGGAACUGAGACACGGUCCAGACUCCUACGGGAGGCAGCAGUAGGGAAUCUUCCGCAAUGGGCGAAAGCCUGACGGAGCAACGCCGCGUGAGUGAUGAAGGUCUUCGGAUCGUAAAACUCUGUAAUUAGGGAAGAACAAAUGUGUAAGUAACUAUGCACGUCUUGACGGUACCUAAUCAGAAAGCCACGGCUAACUACGUG
rnacentral:rRNA from 1 species